UGGGGAAUUUUGGACAAUGGGCGAAAGCCUGAUCCAGCCAUGCCGCGUGAGUGAAGAAGGCCUUCGGGUUGUAAAGCUCUUUUAGUCGGAAAGAAAGAGUCGCAAUGAAUAAUUGUGAUUUAUGACGGUACCGACAGAAAAAGCACCGGCUAACUACGUGCCAGCAGCCGCGGUAAUACGUAGGGUGCGAGCGUUAAUCGGAAUUACUGGGCGUAAAGGGUGCGCAGGCGGUUUUGCAAGUCAGAUGUGAAAGCCCCGGGCUUAACCUGGGAAUUGCGUUUGAAACUACAAGGCUAGAGUGCAGCAGAGGGGAGUGGAAUUCCGAUGUGUAGCAGUGAAAUGCGUAGAGAUGUGGAAGAACACCGAUGGCGAAGGCAGGCUCCCGUGGGUUAGACACUGACG
rnacentral:rRNA from 1 species